UUCAAUGGUGGCGUUGUUGGAGCAUCCGAAAGGGUGGCUGGUUACCUUGUACACCAGUAUUCUCACCUCUGAUAACGUCACCACCCCU
rfam:Providencia rettgeri Dmel1 chromosome, whole genome shotgun sequence.